UACGGGGGGGGUAAGCGUUGUUCGGAAUUACUGGGCGUAAAGGGCUCGUAGGCGGCCAACUAAGUCGGACGUGAAAUCCCUCAGCUUAACUGGGAACUGCGUCCGAUACUGGAUGGCUUGGAUUCGGGAGAGGAAUGCGGAAUUCCAGGUGUAGCGGUGAAAUGCGUAGAUAUCUGGAGGAACACCGGUGGCGAAGGCGGCAUUCUGGACCGACAUUGACGCUGAGGAGCGAAAGCCAGGGGAGCAAAGCGGG
rnacentral:rRNA from 1 species